ensembl:lncRNA
GGGCUAGGUAUUAGGGGAAGGUAUUAGGGGCUAGGUAGUAGGGGCUAGGUAUUAGGGAAGAUAUUAGGGGAUGGUAUUAUGGCCUAGAUAUUAGGGGAAGGUAUUAGGGGCCAUGUAUUAGUGGAAGGUAUUAGGGACUAGGUAUUAGGGGAAGGUAUUAGGGGAUACGUAUUAGGGGAAGGUAUUAGGGGCUAGGUAUUAGGGGAAGCUAUUAGGGGCUAGGUAUUAGGGAAAGAUAUUUGGGGCUAGGUAUUAGGGGCUAAGUCUUAGAGGCUAGGUAUUAGGGGAAGAUAUUAAGGGCUAGGUAUUAGUGGCUAGGAUUUAGGGGCGAAGUAUACCUCGGCAUGCUAGAGCAGCUGUAAGUUCUAUGGCAGAAUCUCAUUACCAUCCUAACAGCUUGCAGAUUCAUUUGCAUUUUUCCGUGAG